rnacentral:rRNA from 1 species
CUACGUAGGGGGCAAGCGUUGUCCGGAAUUACUGGGCGUAAAGAGCUCGUAGGCGGCUCAGCAAGUCGGUCGUGAAAGCCCGAGGCUCAACCUCGGAACUGCGGUCGAUACUGCUGUGGCUAGAGUCCGGUAGAGGAGAGUGGAAUUCCCGGUGUAGCGGUGGAAUGCGCAGAUAUCGGGAGGAACACCAGUGGCGAAGGCGGCUCUCUGGGCCGGUACUGACGCUGAGGAGCGAAAGCGUGGGGAGCAAACAGGAUUAGAAACCCCAGUAGUCC